rnacentral:rRNA from 1 species
UACGUAGGGGGCAAGCGUUGUCCGGAAUGAUUGGGCGUAAAGGGCGCGUAGGCGGCCUUUUAAGUCUGAAGUGAAAGUCCUGCUUUUAAGGUGGGAACUGCUUUGGAUACUGGAAGGCUUGAGUGCAGGAGAGGUAAGCGGAAUUCCCGGUGUAGCGGUGAAAUGCGUAGAGAUCGGGAGGAACACCAGUGGCGAAGGCGGCUUACUGGACUGUUACUGACGCUGAGGCGCGAAAGUGUGGGGAGCAA